rnacentral:rRNA from 1 species
GCCCGCUCAGAAACUCAAAGGAAUUGACGGGGGCCCGCACAAGCGGUGGAGCAUGUGGUUUAAUUCGAUGAUACGCGAGGAACCUUACCUGGGCUCAAAUGUAUGUUGACGUAUUCUGAAAGGGAUACUUCUUCGGACAAUAUACAAGGUGCUGCAUGGUUGUCGUCAGCUCGUGCCGUGAGGUGUCGGGUUAAGUCCCAUAACGAGCGCAACCCCUAUCAUUAGUUGCCAUCAGGUCAAGCUGGGGACUCUAAUGAAACUGCCUACGCAAGUAGUGAGGAAGGUGGGGAUGACGUCAAAUCAGCACGGCCCUUACGUCCAGGCUACACACGUGCUACAAUGGCCGAUACAGAGGGCAGCUACCUGGUGACAGGAUGCAAAUCUCCAAAGUCGGUCUCAGUUCGGAUCGGAGUCUGCAACCCGACUCCGUGAAGUUGGAUUCGCUAGUAAUCGCGCAUCAGCCAUGGCGCGGUGAAUACGUUCCCGGGCCUU